CUCUUUCUGACCCUCAGGUUGCCCUAGUGACUCUAGGAACCUUUCUCCAUACCUCUUGCGUGUUAUCUAUGGAACAUGGACUUUGAACCUCUCUUCUUUUUCGUCUCCUUGCUUUGAUUUAAUCCAUCAUUUCUAGGUGCAUGACAACACUCCCUAACUUAACCCCCCUGCUUUCCCAUUUUAACUACCAUCACAAUAAUCUUAAUACUGGCAGGUAUCUAGCACUUGGCGAUUUUCAAAGAGCUUCCACUAGUUCCUUGCUCGGAAUCUUGUGAUGCAGGCAGGAUAGCUAGGAGUGUCUCCUUUUAAAGGAAAUCAAGGUAGAAAAGUUCAGUGAUGACCCAAUAUCAUAAAAAUCAUAAAAUGGUGAGACCAGGAGCAGGUUAUAGGUUUCUACCCUGGUGCGGUCCCAGGAUGGGGCCUGUAAGUCCUGAAGUUUCAGGCAAAUGUGCUGUGACUGGAUGUGUUAAAUUAGACUAACAGGGAGUGGGGAAGGGCUAUGACAAUUCAGAGUAGGUCUGUAGAAUAUGUUCACAAAACCAUGGAUUUAAGAACAUGGGAGCUUGUGAGGAGUUUUCUAACUCAUUUUUUAAGUUUUCUAGAUGUCUUAUCCAUAUAAUUUUUUUUUUUUUGAAAUGGAGUCCCACUCUUGUCACCCAGGCUGUAGUGCAAUGGCGCGAUCUUGGCUCACUGCAACCUCCGCCUCCCAGUUUCAAAUGAUUCUCCUUCUUCAGCCUCUUGAGUAGCUGGGAUUACAGGCAUGUGCCACCAUGCCUAAUUUUUGUAUUUUUAGUAGAGACUGGGUUUCAACAUGUUGGCCAGGCUGCUGUUGAACUCCUGGUCUCAGGUGAUCCGCCUGCCUCAGCCUCCCAGAGUGCCGGGAUUACAGGUGUGGGCCACCUCGCCUGGCCCAUACAAUUUUUUAAAGGGCAUUGAGAUCCUAAAAUUGAAAUUGUAGAUAGAUAUAGCUGUGGGAUAAAGAACUUCUGCUGAAUGAUGAUUUGCAAAAGUAUGUCUUCAUUAUAGUACUGAGUACUAAUUUUAUGGGGCAAAUAACUCUGUAUUUAAUCUUAUGACCUUGUAUAAAAUCUUGCCCUAAACUAAAUUCAAAUGUAUAGUCAUUUAUACUUAAUUACAAAAUUUGGUGCUAUGUUAAUAUUUACC
rnacentral:lncRNA from 10 species